GACGAACGCUGGCGGCGUGCUUAACACAUGCAAGUCGAACGGUAAGGCCCUUCGGGGUACACGAGUGGCGAACGGGGGAGUAACACGUGGGUGAUCUGCCCUGCACUUCGGGAUAAGCCUGGGAAACUGGGUCUAAUACCGGAUAGGACCACUGCCUGCAUGGGUGGUGGUGGAAAGCUUUUGCGGUGUGGGAUGGGCCCGCGGCCUAUCAGCUUGUUGGUGGGGUGAUGGCCUACCAAGGCGACGACGGGUAGCAGGCCGGAGAGGGUGACCGGCCACACUGGGACUGAGAUACGGCCCAGACUCCUACGGGAGGCAGCAGUGGGGAAUAUUGCACAAUGGGCGCAAGCCUGAUGCAGCGACGCCGCGUGAGGGAUGACGGCCUUCGGGUUGUAAACCUCUUUCAGCACCGACGAAGCGCAAGUGACGGUAGGUGCAGAAGAAGGACCGGCCAACUACGUGCCAGCAGCCGCCGUAA
rnacentral:rRNA from 1 species